GCUCGGCUGGUCUAGUGGUAUGAUACCUGCUUCGGGGGUUUCUCUUCCUUCAUCGCAAAGAUGACAUUGCAGGUGGUCCCCGGUUCGAGCCCGGGGUCGAGCC